AUUCAAUUUACACAAACAGCUCAAAUAGUUGCAAUUCCUCAUAAUCUUUCGCGACAAACAGGCAUAGUUCCCCAAUCUCCACUGGCCACUGUGAGUCGCCGGUCUCUUUGGGUCAUCGGCGCCACCAGAAAUCCUUGAUUUCAGGCGGAUAUCUCAUCGUUCCGUAAGUUUUAAGAACCCUUUUGCUAUUUCGCAUAAUCGUAUUGUUUGAAAAAUUGAAUUUGUUAUUACUUUCUAGGAAUCGUUUCAUUGUGAUACAUACUGUAUGUAUCUGUUUGAACAACCUUAAAAUUCAUGAAAAACUCAAGCUUUAUGCCUCCUAUAAUACACUGUUAUGCACGAAACCAUAUUUGUAGAUAUAGAGAGAGACUUGAGCAGCCUUUGGAGAAGACCCAGAAUGAAACUCCCCUUUGACAACCGAAGUUACAGCGUUUCUGGGCAAUAGCUUAAGGUUAAGCCUCAUUUUUUGCUCCCAAUGGAGAAGACGAUGAAAUUGUGUGCAAUCAGGGACGGAGCCGCCUGCACUGAACUUUGGGCUCAACCCAAGUAUUAGCUUAUUGGGCUUUCCAAUCAUCGGCCCAAAAAAAUUAAAACGAAAAUUAAAAAUGUCAACCUCGCCUAACCCCUAAUUCCCAAACCCUUAUCCACGCAUUCCACUCCCUCUCAUUCUCCAAUUUGGAAAUUUCCCUAAUCCCGCUCUCGCCUUCCAUCGACAGGAAGAAGGAAAGAGGUAAUAAAAUCACAAUGCAUCUAUUUAAAAUGCUUUCCGCCUCUCACUCUCGUCUCUCGCUUUACAUUGGCAGAAUAAGAAAGUGUUUAAUCCAUACUUACUGCAGAAUUUGUUUAGUGUUUGUUUGUGUAAUUAUGUGUUUAUUUAAUUGUUAUUAUGCAUGUGUUUGAGUAAUGUGAAUGUGUGGAGGUUGACUUGGGCUUAACUUUUUGUUCUUUAUAGUUCAGUAUACGGUAGAUAGAAACAGAAUUGAGGGUAAAUUUUGCUUGAUUUUACUUAAUAGGCUGAUUUGGGUUCACUUGAUUUUGCUUUCUCUAACUUGAAGUUUUUCUUUUAUUCCAAAAUUAGGAAUGACCUUGUUCCUGAUUCCAUGUAAAUUUCGUCACCUUUUGUUUAAUUCUGUAUAUUUCAUUCAUUUUGAGUUGAACAUUUUAUCGAAAUUUAACAAAUUCAUGUUUGAUAGGUGAUUCUUAAAUAUUCUUAUAGGUGUUUUCAAGUUUUGAAUCUGAAAGUAGAGUUUCAAUCUUUUGCACUUCACUUACUGUAUAAACUCUUUUUUUUUUUGGGAUUAAAUUUUUCACCUUGCCUAUGAAAGCGUUUAUCUUGUCAAUGUUGUUUUUACAAAGUGGGCUUUCGUGAUUGUAAAGAUGAUAAGCAAAUUAAAUAGCCAAGAUAUGUAGAGUUUGAUUAGUUUAUUCUAACUCUAUCUGUAUUGCUGUAGAUAGAGGGGAAAAGAAAAAAAAUUACUUUAGAAUGAUGUCACACUUGCUAAACCAACUUAUAAAAUGAAGUUGAAGUAAAUAAGUGGUGCUAUUCUAUGAGGAAUUUUCAAUAGGAAUGAUGGGAGUUCUAAAAGGGAUUCUUUUUAUUUGUUAGUGCGCAUUGCUAUCUAGUUAACUUGAAGUUAUUGAACAAUGAUAUCAAAGUAUGAAAACCUGCAAGAAAGAAGUAUAAUUUAUAAAUUAUGUCAUUUUUAGUAUUAUCGAAAUAUUAUUUUAUAUGUUUAUCAUUAUUAAAUACAUAGCCAAAAACUCAGAGUUCGAUAUUAAUUAAAUUGUUCCCGCACUAAAUAAUGUUUCUGGCUUUGUCCUUGUGUGCAACUGUUUAUGAAAUUAAUUGUUGUUUAUUAUGAAUUUAAUCUUAUGUUUUGAUUAAAAUGAAAUAUGGUAUUUAUUUAUUUAAUUAUUUAUGUAUUGAAUUUUUUUUCUUUAACAUUCAUGGAGAAAUAUUUUAAACGAAAAUCCAUAUGUCCGAGUGGAGAGCAAAUUAUUGACCCUACAAUACAAAAUGUCUAGGUCCGCCCCUAUCUACAAGCAUCGAAAAUACAAUCUAUGGCGUCUUUCGGGGCCUCGAUCCAGGAUUCCAUGUCUGCCUCAGGUCGUGCAUCAGAGAAGCUUAGCCUUCCGAUUUUUCAAUCCAAGAUGAAGUCUGACCCCGAAGGUUAUACGUUGGAGCUUGUUUUAAUUUACAACCAAUUCAAGUCAUCUCUCGAACUUUUCGAGCAGCAAGCGGCUUUAAAUUUCACCUUAUUGAGUGGAAUUGCCACUGACCCAACCGUGGCGAAGGAUUUGGGUAAAUGGAGGGUCUGCAUUGACUUCAUAGAUCUUAAUAAGGUGUGCCCAAAGGACAGCUACCCGCUGCCUAGGAUUGAUAAUCUUGUGAAUAGCACAUCCGGACAUAAACUGUACAGCUUCUUAGAUGCAUUCUCAGGGUAUCAUCAAAUCCUCAUGGCUAAUGAAGACCAAGAGAAAACUUUAUUCAUGGCUGAUUCAGCCAUAUAUUGCUAUAGGGUGAUGCCAUUUGGAUUAAAAAAUGCUGGGGCGACAUAUCAGAGCUCAUCAACAAAGUCUUCGCUGAUUUGAUAGGGAAGAACGUCGAGGCCUAUGUGGACGACAUGGUUGUAAAGAGUAAGAAGGUGGAGGAACACAUAUCCGACCUAGAGGAGGUGUUCGUCAACCUACGAAAAUAUAAAAUGAAGCUCAACCCGGAGAAGUGUGUAUUCGGCGUAGCUUCAGGAAAGUUUCUGGGUUUCAUGAUCACUCAUCGGAGGAUUGAGGCGCACCCCGACAAGAUUCAGGCUCUGGCAGCAAUAGAAUCAUCAAGGACCAAGAAGGAGGUUCAAAAGUUGACAGGCAGGGUAGCUACCUUAAACAGGUUCAUGUCCUGAGCAGCAGACAGGUGCUUCCCCUUCUUCAAAGCCCUAAGGGGAAAUCAUUGCUUUGAAUGGAAUGAGGAAUGCGAGAAGGCUUUUCAGGAGCUCAAGCAGACAUUGGAAUCUUCUCAUAUCCUCACAAAACUCGAGUCCGGGGAUACUCUGUAUUUAUACUUAGCCAUAUCUCAGAAUGCAGUGAGUGGUGUCUUGGUAAAAGAGGUUAACAGGGUCUAGCAACCCAUUUAUUACGUAAGUAAAGUCCUACUUGAUGCAGAAACAAGAUACAAUUUGGCAGAACAACUUGUCCUUGCACUGAUAGUGGCAGCACGAAAACUUCGGCAAUAUUUUCAGUCACAUCCAAUUGUAGUGCUCACCAAUUAGCCUCUAAAACACAUUUUUUCAGAAACCAGACGUCUCAGAAAGAUUACUGAGGUGGGCAAUUGAACUCGGAGAAUUUAACAUAGAGUUCAAGCCCUGUCCAUCUAUCAAAGCUCAGGCCUUAGCUGACUUUAUUGCAGAACUCACCCCAAGGCUUUGGGGGCCAGAUGGUAGCUCGAGCUCGACCACAGGUGUGUGGAAAAUUUUCAUAGAUGGAGCAUCAAACUCCUCGAGCUCGGGCGCAGGAGUCAUAAUCAUAAGCCCGGACAUGCUCAUAAACAUUCAUCAUAGCCAUAGAGCUCGUCAUAAAUCUUGAGCUUGAAAAUAUCAAAAUUUGCAGUGAUUCCCCAGUUGGUGGUUGGACAAAUCGAAGGGACGUUUGAUAGGAAGGACGAGAAGAUGAGCUUAUACUGCUUGAAAGUGCAUGCUCUCCAAAGAAAGUUCAGGAGUUGUGAAAUUAUGAAAAUUUCUCGAGCUGAGAAUCGCAAGGCCGAUGCCUUGUCAAGAUUGGUGUUCAUGGGAAUAGAUGGGCUCGACAGGACAGUCCACGUUAGAAUUAUAACAGAGCCAAGCAUCAAUCAGACCACAGGCGUCAUGGAUAUUGAUAAUGACCCAUCAUGGAUGGACUCAAUAGUGGACUUCAUAAAACAUGGCAAUCUUCCAGAAGAUCCUCGAGCAGCAAGAAGCAUUCGGUCCAAAGCUCCGAGGUAUUGCAUGAUUGAAGGAGUUUUAUUUCGCAGGAGCCUCACACUUUCAUACCUCAGAUGCUUUAGGCCUUCUGAAUCAUCCCAGGCCCUAAAAGAGGUUCAUGAAGGAAUAUGUGAGAACCAUCAAGGAGGCUGGACAUUAGCCUUCAAGCUCAUAAGGUAUGGAUAUUAUUAGCUGACAAUGAAGAAAGACGCCCAGGAAUAUGUCAAGAAGUGUGACAAGUGCCAAAGAUUUGACAAUGUUAUCCACCGUCCCGUAGAGGACCUCACUAAUAUUAGUUGCACAGCCCCGUUUGAGCAGUGGAGAAUUGACAUCCUUGAUCCCUUUCCAAUAACUAGGGGACAAUUGAAGUUUGUGGCUGUGGCUGUAGAGUAUUUCACUAAGUGGGUGGAGGCCGAGGCUUUAGCAACAAUUUUAGAGCCUAAGUUGAGAAGUUUCAUUUGGAGAUCCAUCAUAUUCAGGUUCGGGAUACCAAAAGUCCUCAUAAUUGAUAAUGGCAGGCAGUUUGAGAAUGCACAAUUUAAAAACUUCUGUUCCAACCUAGGGGUCGAUCACCGUCUGACAUCGGUUUCCCAUCCUCAAAGUGAUGCUUUUGCCGAAAUAACCAAUCGGAUUAUAUUACAAGACCUCCGUACAAGGAUCGGAGAUGCAAGAUGUUCAUGGUCUGACGAGUUACCUUCCAUACUUUGGACAUAUAGAAAGUCCCACAAAACAGCUACGAGGGAAACACCCUUCAUGUUGGCUUUCGGUAUUGGAGCUACCAUCCCUGUUGAAGUCAGAUUGCCCAGCCAAAGAAGGCUUGAGCCCGAAGAUGCAGGGCGCACCACUGAACACCUCGACCUUUUGGAAGAAGUUCGCGAUCAGGCAGCUCUAAAAAUGGCCUCUUACCAAAAUAAAACAGCAAAGUAUUUCAAUAAAAAUGUAAGGACUCGGAGAUUCAGGGCCGGAGACCUUGUGUUAAGAAGGGUUGAAGUAGCAGGUAAUGCUCCCGACAAGAUAGGACCAGUUUGGGAAGGGCCCUUCGAAGUCAUACGACAGCUUCAAAGAGGUGCAUACAGUUUAAGGGAUACAUCGGGAAGACUACUCCCAAGACCAUGGAACGCCGAGAAUUUAAAAAUAUAUUAUAAGUAACUUGUUCUUCUAGUUUUCAGUAGUCAGGCCUGCGCAUCAAGGUUCACGUUUUCAGUUAUCAGGCCUACGCACCAAGUAUAUUUUAAAGUAUAAUAAGAAUUAAGCUAUUUAUCAAAAUGUGAUCCCACUACGAAAAGUCUUGCCCCGCGCAAACAACUCAAGCCUUGCCCCGAGCAAGCAACCCUAUUCUUGCCUUGAGCAAGUGCAUAAAGAUAAUAUCAAGACACUGUACCAAGUAAAAUUCCCAAGCUCAUUGUGCCCGACCAACGAUGAAAUGAAUCCUAUAAAAACGCACAUCCUUAUCCUCGGGAAUCGAUAGGUCGGGACAAUUCAAUUAGUUCUCGAGAUAAUUUCCCAAUUCAGGGACGACCCUAAGAUUGAGUAGUAACCUUUGUCUGAAACUUCUAUGGGUUACACCGUCGAGAUAGCCUUUCAUUGUAGACGUCGAGAUAUUAAUCCAUCUUAAGCAUCGAGAUUAAUACUUAGACAUCAAGUUAUUAGGUCAUCUUUGGCGUCGAGGUUAAUAUUUAGUCGUCGAGUUAUCAAUUCAUCUUAGGGGUCGAAUUAAUAAUUUAUCAAUCUUAAGCGUCGAGAUUAAUACUUAGACAUCGAGUUAUUAGUUCGUCUUUGGCGUUGAGGUUAAUAUUUAGACUCGAGUUAUCAAUUCAUCUUAGGGGUCAAGCUAAUAAUUUAUCCAUCUUAAGCAUCGAGAGUAAUACUUAAACAUUGAGUUACUUAUUUACUUGUCUUAAUGUCGAGCUAUUUGUCCUGAUCGUCAAGUUGCCCAAGAUGUCAGCCAUAUACCGUGAAAGUGAAAAAACAUCGAUACAUUGAACAUUAAGUAAGAUCGAGCAAAAUAGUGUUCAAAAUACAAAACUGAUGUCGUCAUGAUCAAAAAAAAUAAUCAAAAAGUCUAGUCCCCGAUAUUCUGGUUAGGUUGAUCUUCCUCAACGUCAUCACCCUCGAUGUCGACCUCCUCAUCAUCAACAGUCUCCUCGGACUUCGAGAGGGUGAGGUCCUCAGCCAUACGUGGGAUAGUCUUCAAGUCCUCGAGCAUUGCGUCUGGCUUCGCGCGAAUGAAUGCUCGAGCCUCUUUUAGGGCAUGAAAGUACGAGCCCAUUGCGUAUUCACCCUCGAGCUCAUUAAAGACGUCAGACUUCUUGAACUCCUCAACUGAGUCAGCCCGAGCUUGAACCAUCCUCCCUUCAUAAUCCCUAUGAAUAUUUUCAAGCUCCAGCUUUACCUCCUCAGCCUCAUCCUUCAUCGCACCAACCUCUUCUCGAGCUUUUAUGAGCUCACUAUUCAUCUGCUCACGCUCCCUCAGUAGUUGAGCACGCUCGGCCUCAAGAUCGGCAAUUCUUCUAUCUUGAGCCGCUCGGGAGUCCUCGAGGUCAGCCAAUUUGGAGGACCCAUCCUUCCCUUUCAAAGCGACCUCGAGCUAUGCUUAACGUCUGGAAAAAAUGGACGAACAAAAGUUUAAUAAGACCUCGAUUAAAAAAGAUGUAAAAAUACUUACGUUUGGAUUACAUUAUCGACGUACCUUCAGCGUCAUGGCCUUGAGGGUCCUCAUGCCCUCAUCAAAUCCAAUACUUCCUCGGUAUUGGUCAACAAUGCCCGGCAAAAAUUGGCAUUGGGUUUGGUCCUCUGGAGGGACAGAGCAUGUUGGCAGAGUCUCAUCCUCGAGAUCGACCACUUCGACAGGACCUCGAGGGUGAGGAACGCUCCGGGGUGUACCCUGAGGGGUUGGACGUUCAACCCUCUCCCGCUCUAUGGCCGGGGAUUUUCCCCUUGGCUGUGACGUUUCGUCGGGCCACUCCUCUGUCUUUCGAGCCUUGAAUCUCAAGCUCUUUUUUGCCCCCUCUUCUUGCUGGGAGCCCGAGCCUAGGGGACCUUGGAGUUCUUGCUAACUGCAUAACAUAGGGCAGCAGGGUCAAACGUCAUUUCUGCAAAAUUAACCGACAUUAACAUGAGCACGAGCAUUAAUAAAUAUAGGUAGCAUAACGAAGACAUUGAAAGUACAUAUCCUACCCUCGACGCCUUUCACAUUCGCGAGAUCGAGGAUGUCAUUCCCGAGGACGUCAUCUAUAUUGUACACCAAAGGCUCGAGAUUUUCUAACAUCAGCCUAUCCCUCUCUAAGGACUCAAAAUAGGCUUGACCCUCACAAAACCUCGCAGUAUCAGGUAACACCCACUAACGACUAAAAGAUAGGUCGGGAUCUUGAGACACGACGUAAAACCACUUUUCCUUCCACCCUUUCAGUGAACUAGGCAUCCUCGGGAUCCUAAACCCUCCUCGAGAUGAAAGGUAAGCAAAACACGUGAAUUGGGGAAGUUGUUUCAGGUCGAACACAAUCCUGCAUAAGUCUAGGUAUGGGGUAAUUCCUAGGUACCUACAAGCUACAAAAAAUAGGUCAGCAUCCUCCACCCAUUCGACACUAAUUGCCCGGGGCUCAUAUUAUGCUCGGUCAAUAGGAAAACAAAGAAUGGGUGCACAGGCCACCUAAACCCCCCUUUAAAGAAUCCUUGAAAAUCACAAACUCUUUUUCCGGAGCUAGAGCCACCCUAUCUCUAUCCUCGGGAUGCCUAAUAACACAACCCGGCAUAAGGCCGUAUUCCCUAGCCGUCGAUAUCGUUAAGUGUUCCUUAAAACUAUAGGGUUGAUCUAGGAAUCUAAGUGACGUCGGGUUAUCCUAAGCUCGAGGGUGAGCACUAAUAGGUACUGCCAUCGGCACUAUUGACUGUCCUAAGUCCUCGGGUGUAGACCUAGACCCCAAGACGAUGUGUCUCCUUCACUACUCGACAUCCUAUUCCAAGCUAAGACCUUUCUAAAUAAACAAUUUAAGUUCUCGAGCUCUUACCUAAUACCGACGAUUGCGAGAAAAAUUUACUGAGAGUGAAAAAGUAAAAAAUGAAUAGCGAAAGGAGUAUUUAUAGGAAGCCAGGGUGGGAGCCCAAAGGUCACUCGUGCAAUCGUCCGAUCACGCCACGUGUCUACCAUCCAAGGGCUCAACCCUUCCACCGCCUUACUUGUUUAUGGUUGAUGUCAUCAUCACGUCAGCUUUGUUCACUUGUUUUCAAAAGCCCGAGCAUUUGCACAUCAUUCGCCUUUGAGCCUAUUUGCAUCAUAUCCUCGAGCAAAGGCUUUGAGCAUAUGUGCACAGGGGGCAAUGAUACUGACAUUAUCUGCAACCCGAUCACUAUAUUAUCCUGACUACCAAUUUUUGAUGAACUUGCAAUUCCAUGUAUGGAGUGCUCGAGCAUAUGAUCACCCCGGGGUAUUAUGCCCGACCACUUCCUGUCAGAUGCUUUACAUAUUGCGAUACUUGUCCUCGGGCAUAUGCUCUCCCACAUGUAGUUAUGGUAUUUGACCAACUCCUUAACUGUACAGGACUCCAAUAAAUAAGGACAUCCAGCUAGUUGAGUCUCACUACUACUAUAAAUAUAGAAUCUUGAGCCACUAUUCAGGUACGUUUUUCAUUGUUCUCCAACUUAUAGCCUCACACAUAUAAUUUCCUUUCUGACUUAAGUAUCGGAGGGCGACGAAAACACACCUCGUUGCAUUUGUUUCAUGUACCGGAAGAUUACGAUCGUGCUCAAUCCGAAUCAUCAAGCUCGGGAAAUCUGCAGGUACAAUUUUUGGUAGCAUCAUAGUGUUAUCCUUUUUUGGAACCGAGCUGUCGAUUCUACCAUAACAAAUUUUUUUAAAAUAAAGUAGCCAGAAAAACAUUAAACAAUUUUUAAACGAGUUCAUUCAAUUGAUUAUGCUAUUAACCAAAAAGGUUUGUAUCAGUUCCUCUUGAUUUCUAAAAUUUUUCUCGUUCAGUUUUCUUAGAUCUCCUUCAACAAUAUCUGUUGCACAGUAAUGAAGAAAAUCAAUGAUAUUAAACUAAUUUACAAUCAGUGAAAGUGAAAAGAAUAAAAUAUUUCAAAAAAGUUCGAAACUUCUUUCAAGAACUGAAUCACCCAUUCAAUUUCGAGUAUUUUAUAAAUAAAACCAUUUUUUUCUAUGCAAUAUUUGAAAUUGAUCAACCAACGAUUCCAAUUCAGGAGAUUCAGUUCAAGACAAAUGUCCCUAAUUAAUUAGGGAUAUACUGCCACACUAUAAGCUCGUAUUUUACAGUGGAUUUACUGUCCACUAAUAGAAAAUUACAGUUCUAAUAUGAAACAAAAAUUGAAAAAUAAAUAAAUAAAUUUAACAAUAAAGUCACAGUUAAAUAGAUUUCUACAUUUUUUUCUUUAAGCCUGCUCCUCUUGCACAAUAUUACCAACAAUUCAGUAGAGAUGGCAGCUGGGCAGGUUUGGUGGCUCCCCCCUCCCUUUAUUUAUAUUUUCAAAAUUUCGAGUUAUAUUAUUAUUAGAGAAUAAAAUAUAACAUUUUUAAAUAAUUAAUAUUUCAUUAGCAUUUAUUAUUUUUGUAUAACAAGUGUG
rnacentral:lncRNA from 1 species